GUCUUUGCGCACGGGCAAUGUCUCCCAAGUGAGGUUUUACCGAUGGGCGACUAUUGCUAAUUGAAAACUACUCCAAUUCCAGCGCGUUCACCUCUCGUAGGUGACCGUGCAAUUUUUGAAACCUUUCUCCUUUUGAUAAUAAACGCUUUUUUAAUUAAACAGUUCCCUGGUUGUAAACUGCCAAUAGAUAAAG
rnacentral:snRNA from 12 species